GGGGCAUUAGCUCAUCCGGCUAGAGCGUCUGACUGGCAGUCAGGAGGUGAUCGGUUCAAGUCCGAUAUGCUCCA
rnacentral:tRNA from 2 species